GACGAAGGGGGCUAGCGUUGUUCGGAAUUACUGGGCGUAAAGCGCGUGUAGGCGGUUAUCCAAGUUGGGUGUGAAAGCCCUGGGCUCAACCCAGGAAGUGCAUUCGAUACUGCCGAGCUUGAGUCCUGGAGAGGAAGGCGGAAUUCUCGGUGUAGAGGUGAAAUUCGUAGAUAUCGAGAGGAACACCGGUGGCGAAGGCGGCCUUCUGGACAGUGACUGACGCUGAGACGCGAAAGCGUGGGGAGCAAACAGG
rnacentral:rRNA from 1 species